AUGAGUAGUUGCUACCAAUUUAAUAAAGUCUUGUUGACAAUUUUUUGUCACCCAAAUUUUUUCAGAAAAUUGUACGCGAACAUGAUGAACCUUUUUGGAAGGAGUUCUUCGAGGAGGCGAUCCUCGGGGGCAUCUUCUAGUGACAGCUCCGCUCGCCCGUCAUAUGUUGAACCAAGUGAAAGUUCUACUCGAGAUGCCGCCACCAAAACAUGCUUAUGGCCUUGCGAUGAGUAUAUGGUGCGUGUGGGUAUUAAAGAGGAAUUUGAGCAAUAUGUUCACAAUGUCGGUCUCAGUCCCUACCUUUCAGAUAAGUGCGAACAAUGCCACCUUCUCACUGAAUCAUUUGUCAAAGGAUUUAAAUUCCUUCCCAGUGAGUCUAGGGUGUCGUUUAUGCUUUAUGAUAAUCCAUUUACCAUAUCACUAGAGAAUUUUGCUUACCACUGCCAACUCCCAUUCUGGGGUUCGCUUGACGAACCGCCAAGGGCUGAGUAUCAAACAUUCUUGACUAGUCUUUGUUGCGGUUAG
rnacentral:rRNA from 1 species